rnacentral:rRNA from 1 species
AAUAGGUGCGGGUAACCAAGCCUAUUACGGAGCGGCGAACGGGUGAGUAACACGUGAGCAACCUGCCCCGCAGAUCGGGAUAGCCCAGGGAAACUUGGAUUAAUACCGGAUAUUCUCCUUUAACCACAUGAUUGUUGGAGGAAAUGCUUUUGCGCUACGGGAUGGGCUCACGGCCUAUCAGCUUGUUGGUGGGGUAACGGCCUACCAAGGCUACGACGGGUAGCUGGUCUGAGAGGACGAUCAGCCACACUGGGACUGAGACACGGCCCAGACCCCUACGGGAGGCAGCAGCAGGGAAUCUUGCGCAAUGGGCGAAAGCCUGACGCAGCAACGCCGCGUGGGGGAUGAAGGCCUUCGGGUUGUAAACCCCUUUAGGGAGGGACGAAAUUGACGGUACCUCCAGAAUAAGCCCCGGCCAACUACGUGCCAGCAGCCGCGGUGAUACGUAGGGGGCAAGCGUUGUCCGGAAUCAUUGGGCGUAAAGAGCUCGUAGGCGGCUUAGUAAGUCGGUCGUGAAAUACCGAGGCUCAACCUCGGCACUGCGGUCGAUACUGCUAUAGCUAGAGUUUGGUAGAGGAGAACGGAAUUCCCGGUGUAGCGGUGGAAUGCGCAGAUAUCGGGAGGAACACCUGUAGCGAAGGCGGUUCUCUGGGCCAACACUGACGCUGAGGAGCGAAAGCGUGGGGAGCAAACAGGAUUAGAUACCCUGGUAGUCCACGCUGUAAACGUUGGGCACUAGGUGUGGCGACCCGACCAACGGUUGCCGUGCCGAAGCUAACGCAUUAAGUGCCCCGCCUGGG